UCUAAUAUGGCAGAAUAGUGCAUUGGAUUUAAGACCCAAAUAUAAAGAAACCUUUUUUUAGAA
rnacentral:tRNA from 1 species